AUACCCUGAAGUGAUAGAUUUGGAGGUUCUCAACAUCAAGCUUUUGGAAAUUACUACGCUUUCUGUUGGCCAAAAACUUCCCCCAAUUGUAAGGCCUAAAUUUGGCAGGGUUUUGCUCAUUUACUAUCUCCUCCAAGGGCUUCACGAUGGUAUAGUGUGCUGGAUUGAAGAAGUAUGGAAUGGAAAAUCUUUCCUUCUCAGGGUUCACCUUCACUCUAUGCUCCACACUUUCGUAAGCAUCGUUGCUCCAUACCUCCACAAACAAAGACAUUAAAAGUUCCACUAGAUCCUGAGCUUCAGGUUCAAGCAUGGAAAAUAAAACUCAAUCUAGUUCAAGUUGAGUUUUGAACAUUGAGUCUUCUAAUUGAGUUGAGUUCGAGUAAUUAUUUGCAUCAACUCACUUCGGACUAUUUGAAUAUUGUGAAAUAGGCAAGUUCAUGUAA
rnacentral:misc_RNA from 1 species